rnacentral:rRNA from 1 species
UACAGGGGGUGCAAACGUUGCUCGGAAUUAUUGGGCGUAAAGCGCGCGUAGGCGGCUACCUAAGUCGGAUGUGAAAGCCCCUGGCUUAACUGGGGAAGUGCACCCGAAACUGAGUAGCUAGAGUGCGAAAGAGGAUCGCGGAAUUCCCGGUGCAGAGGUGAAAUUCGUAGAUAUCGGGAGGAACACCGGUGGCGAAGGCGGCGACCUGGGUCGACACUGACGCUGAGGCGCGAAAGCGUGGGGAGCAAACAGG